rnacentral:rRNA from 1 species
UACGUAGGGGGCAAGCGUUGUCCGGAUUUACUGGGCGUAAAGGGCGCGUAGGCGGCUUAUCAAGUCAGGCGUGAAAUUCCCGGGCUCAACCUGGGGGCUGCGCUUGAUACUGAUUGGCUUGAAUGCGGGAGAGGAUAGUGGAAUUCCCAGUGUAGAGGUGAAAUUCGUAGAUAUUGGGAAGAACACCGGUGGCGAAGGCGGCUAUCUGGCCCGUAAUUGACGCUGAGGCGCGAAAGCGUGGGGAGCAAACAGG